rnacentral:rRNA from 1 species
GACGAACGCUGACGGUGUGCUUUAGACAUGCAAGUCGAACGAGAAAGCCCUUCGGGUUAGUAAAGUAGGCGAACGGGUGAGUAACACGUGGGCAAUCUGCCCCUCGCAGGGGGACGAACCGGAGGAAACUCCGGCUAAUACCCCGUAAGUUCAAAGGGAGGCAUCUCUCUUCGAAGAAAGGUAGCCUCGGCCAUCCGGCGAGGGAUGAGCCCGCGGUGCAUUAGCUAGUUGGUGGGGUAACGGCCUACCAAGGCGACGAUGCAUAGCUGGUCUGAGAGGAUGAUCAGCCACACUGGGACUGAGACACGGCCCAGACUCCUACGGGAGGCAGCAGUCGGGAAUCUUGCGCAAUGGGCGAAAGCCUGACGCAGCAACACCGUGUGUGUGAGGAAGG